ACCUGGAUGGAGGGAGCCCUGUCUGUCUCUGAGUAACACCUGAAUGGAGGGAGACCUGUCUGUCUCUGAGUAACACCUGAAUGGAGGGAGACCUGUCUGUCUCUGAGUAACACCUGGAUGGAGGGAGCCCCGUCUGUCUCUGAGUAACACCUGAAUGGAGGGAGACCUGUCUGUCUCUGAGUAACACCUGAAUGGAGGGAGCCCUGUCUGUCUCUGAGUAACACCUGAAUGGAGGGAGACCUGUGUGUGGAGCUGAAGUUAAUUAAUGAACAUCAAAUGGUAUUGAGAAAGUGGCUGUGGAGGAGCAGUUUGUUAUGUGAUGAUCAUCUACAGUCCCUUCACAUUACUGUACGUUUAUUAAAGGUAAAGGGUAAAUCAAACUGUUUUUGACUUACUCUGUACUUUCACAAAUUAAUACAACAUUUAUAUUACACUUGGUGCAUUUUGAAGCAUGGAAUUGGGCCAAUAGAUUAUUUCUUUCAGCUGUAUAUUUGUGUUUCAACAGAAAACCAUUUCAGCUCCUGCGACAGCCAGACGGAAGGAGACAGCAACAUACCAGCCGUUAUCUCCAGGGAGAUGGGAUGUCUGGCUGUCGCCCUACAACGAGGAAGGCUGCUGCUGAGAGCAGGGGGUGCCUACUCAAGUCCUAGAAACAGCAACUAGAUUGUCAGCUGUAUAGGCCCUGCUGUACCGGAAUCCUCUAGUGCUUCUUCAAGGAUUGAUUUACUUCCCCUGCCUUCCAUUGACUGUAGAGGAACCAACCCUGAUACCAAAAUCAAUAACUACUCUAGGAAAUGGCUUCCUGAAAUCCCUCAAGCAGCUGAUUGGUCGACUCCAGGGCUAAUUGGAGAGCUG